UACGUAGGGGGCAAGCGUUAUCCGGAUUUACUGGGUGUAAAGGGAGCGUAGACGGCAGCGCGAGUCUGGAGUGAAAUGCCGGGGCCCAACCCCGGAACUGCUUUGGAAACUGUGCGGCUCGAGUGCGGGAGAGGUAGGCGGAAUUCCUAGUGUAGCGGCGAAAUGCGUAGAUAUUAGGAGGAACACCAGUGGCGAAGGCGGCUUACUGGACCGUAACUGACGUUGAGGCUCGAAAGCGUGGGGAGCAAACAGG
rnacentral:rRNA from 1 species